rnacentral:rRNA from 1 species
GAUGAACGCUAGCGGCAGGCCUAAUACAUGCAAGUCGAACGGUGUCUUCGGACAUAGUGCCGCACGGGUGCGUGACACGUAUGCAACCUACCUUACAUUGGGGGAUAGCCUUUCGAAAGGGAGAUUAAUACCGCAUAAGACAGUAGCUGGGCAUCCAGCAGCUGUUAAAGAUUUAUCGAUGUAAGCUGGGCAUGCGUCCAAUUAGCUAGGUGGUGAGGUAACGGGUCACCAAGGCAAUGAGUGGUAGGGGAACCGAGAGGUCAAUCCCCCACACUGGCACUGGGAUAAGGGCCAGACUGCUACGGGAGGCAGCAGUAGGGAAUAUUGGGCAAUGGACGCAAGUCUGACCCAGCCAUGCCGCGUGCAGGAUGAAGGCGUUAUGCGUUGUAAACUGCUUUUAUACAGGAAGAGACGACUCUUGCGAGAGGCAUUGACGGUACUGUAUGAAUAAGCACCGGCUAACUCCGUGCCAGCCGCCGCCGUAACAC